GAUGAUUUUCGUAGUAGUCUAUCUCCGAAUACGGUUGAGGUAUUGGUGUGCACACAGGAUUGGCUUCGAGACAGCUUGCCUCAUCUUGCAGAUGAUCCACCUUCUCAUACAAAAUACAAGAUUGAAGAUUACGAAACUGUUGUUGAUAUUAAUAUCGAUGAUUAACUUAUGCUGAUGUAGGUGCAAGCAAAGAGAAAUUUAUGAUUCCAUGUGUUCAAGUUAGAAGGAUGUAUACAUUGCAUGACAAACCUGUUUACAUAACCAGCAAAGACAGCAUAACUUCAAAGCUCCUGCACAAACAUAAAAGUGUACUCAUUGAUGCUUAAACUUUAUAAUUUUAUAGUAUAAUGAUCGUAAACUGAUGUUGCUUCUUUGCUUUAUGCAGGAUGGUGGUAAUCUAUCUUAACUAAUGGGACAAGUCAUCUUCACUGAACAUGAUGUUGAUGUUGAUGUUGAUGUUGAUGUUAAUUGCAUGAUGUUGAUGUUGUGAUGCAUCCUUUUGGAUUGUCAUAUGGGGUAGAAUUUUGCUGUGAUGUAGUAAAUUGUAAUGUUGUGAUCCUAAAACUGUGACCCAGGUUGUAAUGUUGUUGUUUGGAUUGUCCUUUGUCAUAUGGGGUUGAAUUUUACUUUGAAAAAUCCUGUGAUGCUAAUACUGUAACCAGCUUUGAUUAUAAACUUACAUCUUAGUGCAUAGGUGGUGGAAUUGAAGUGUCUAUUGGCCUUUGUCCUGUAUGUCUCAUGUUUACUAGUGGAUAUCAAUAAUUGGAAUGGUUUGAGAAAGAAGUUGUUAUAAUUCUUUAGGUGUUUGACUCCUCCUGACAAGUGUGUUUUUUGUUUCUUCUUUUCUUGAUGCAGACGAAGUGAACCAAGAAGGCUGGAAUUGUUGGCAAAUAUGGUACCAGAUAUGGUGCUAGUUUGCGAAAGCAAAUCAAGAAAAUGGAAGUCUCCCAGCAUGCCAAGUAUUUCUGUGAGUUCUGUGGAAAGGUAUCAUCUCAUCUCUUGCAUUGAGACUAUCUUGUUGUUGAUUAUUAUCUUAUUAUAUGCU